rnacentral:rRNA from 1 species
AUCUGCCCUUCAGUUGGGAAUAACUCAUCGAAAGGUGGGCUAAUACCGAAUAACGCUGUGAGACCUUGGUUGAUCAGCCAAAGAGAGCCUCUGCUUGCAUGCCCUUGCUGAAGGAUGAGUCCGCGUACCAUUAGCUUGUUGGUAGGGUAAUGGCCUACCAAGGCGACGAUGGUUAGCUGGUCUGAGAGGAUGAUCAGCCACACUGGAACUGAGACACGGUCCAGACUCCUACGGGAGGCAGCAGUGAGGAAUCUUGCGCAAUGGGGGCAACCCUGACGCAGCAACGCCGCGUGAGUGAGGAAGGUCUUCGGAUCGUAAAGCUCUGUCAGUUGGGAAGAAACGCUUGAGGGUGAACAGCCCUUUUGCUUGACGGUACCAACAGAGGAAGCACCGGCUAACUCCGUGCCANCAGCCGCGGUAAUACGGAGGGUGCGAGCGUUGUUCNGAAUUAUUGGGCGUAAAGAGCGUGUA